UACAGAGGUCCCAAGCGUUGUUCGGAUUUACUGGGCGUAAAGGGUGCGUAGGUGGCGGGGUAAGUCUGGUGUGAAAGCUCCGAGCUCAACUCGGAAAAGCAUUGGAAACUAUUCCGCUGGAGGGUCGAAGGGGAGACUGGAAUUCUCGGUGUAGCAGUGAAAUGCGUAGAUAUCGAGAGGAACACCAGUGGCGAAGGCGAGUCUCUGGACGACUCCUGACACUGAGGCACGAAAGCUAGGGGAGCAAACAGG
rnacentral:rRNA from 1 species